CCCUUAGAUGUUCUGGGCCGCACGCGCGCUACACUGAUGCAUUCAGCGAGUUUCUUCCUGGUCCGAGAGGAAUGGGUAACCUUUUGAAAGUGCAUCGUGAUAGGGAUAGACUAUUGCAAUUAUUGGUCUUCAACGAGGAAUUCCUAGUAGACGUAGUUCAUCAGACUGCAUCGAUUACGUCCCUGCCCUUUGUACACACCGCCCGUCGCUCCUACCGAUUGAAUGCUCAGGUGAGCCAUUCGGACUUUCAUCAUGCUGGUUUCCAGUUUUGAUGAAGGAAAGUCUUGCGAACCUUAUCAUUUAGAGGAAGGAGAAGUCGUAACA
rnacentral:rRNA from 1 species